rnacentral:rRNA from 1 species
GUGGGGAAUCUUGGACAAUGGGGGCAACCCUGAUCCAGCGACGCCGCGUGGGUGAUGAAGGCCUUCGGGUCGUAAAGCCCUUUUGCCGGGGAAGAUGAUGACGGUACCCGGAGAAGAAGCACCGGCUAACUCUGUGCCAGCAGCCGCGGUAAGACAGAGGGUGCUAGCGUUGUUCGGAAUUACUGGGCGUAAAGGGCGCGUAGGCGGCCAUGUAAGUCGGGUGUGAAAUCCCGGGGCUCAACCCCGGAACUGCAUUCGAUACUGUGUGGCUUGAGACCGGAAGAGGUGGGUGGAAUACCCAGUGUAGAGGUGAAAUUCGUAGAUAUUGGGUGGAACACCGGUGGCGAAGGCGGCUCACUGGUCCGGUUCUGACGCUGAGGCGCGAAAGCGUGGGGAGCAAACAGG